CCUACGGGAGGCUGCAGUGGGGAAUAUUGGACAAUGGGCGAAAGCCUGAUCCAGCCAUGCCGCGUGUGUGAAGAAGGCCUUCGGGUUGUAAAGCACUUUCAGUGGGGAAGAAAGCCUUGGGGCUAAUACCCUCGAGGAAGGACAUCACCCACAGAAGAAGCACCGGCUAACUCCGUGCCAGCAGCCGCGGUAAUACGGAGGGUGCGAGCGUUAAUCGGAAUUACUGGGCGUAAAGCGCGCGUAGGCGGUCUGAUAAGCCGGUUGUGAAAGCCCCGGGCUCAACCUGGGAACGGCAUCCGGAACUGUCAGGCUAGAGUGCAGGAGAGGAAGGUAGAAUUCCCGGUGUAGCGGUGAAAUGCGUAGAGAUCGGGAGGAGUACCAGUGGCGAAGGCGGCCUUCUGGACUGACACUGACGCUGAGGUGCGAAAGCGUGGGUAGCAAACAGGAUUAGAUACCCCAGUAGUC
rnacentral:rRNA from 1 species